UACAGAGGGUGCGAGCGUUAAUCGGAAUUACUGGGCGUAAAGCGUGCGUAGACGGCUAUCUAAGUCGGGUGUGAAAGCCCCGGGCUCAACCUGGGAAUUGCAUUCGAGACUGAAUAGCUAGGGUACGGUAGAGGGAAGCGGAAUUUCCGGUGUAGCGGUGAAAUGCGCAGAUAUCAGGAGGAACACCGGUGGCGAAAGCGGUUCUCUGGGCAUGUCCUGACGCUGAGGAGCGAAAGUGUGGGGAGCGAACAGG
rnacentral:rRNA from 1 species